rnacentral:rRNA from 1 species
UACGUAGGGUGCGAGCGUUAAUCGGAAUUACUGGGCGUAAAGCGUGCGCAGGCGGUUCGUUAAGUUCGUUGUGAAAGCCCCGGGCUCAACCUGGGAACGGCAAUGGAAACUGGCGGGCUUGAAUGCGGCAGAGGGGGGUGGAAUUCCUGGUGUAGCGGUGAAAUGCGCAGAUAUCAGGAGGAACACCUACGGCGAAGGCAGCUCGCUGGGACGGUACUGACGCUGAGACGCGAAAGCGUGGGGAGCAAACAGG